rnacentral:lncRNA from 1 species
GAAGAAGUAAAGAAACGAGGCAGGGGUAGGGGUUAGAAGUAGACCAGUGCAAAACACACAGAAGGCCUGCAUGAAUGCCCACCCGUUCGGGUGCAAUUGGGCCGGGCAGAUGUUUAUUUUCCUUAAUACACCCAUUUUAAAUUCAGAGAAAGGAAGCCUUACACCCAGGUCAUGAAAUAACGUUACAUACAAGUAGAAAAAAUCUAAUUCGUAUCCCUCCC